AUUACGAGUAUUGAUAACAAUCACCUAUUAAUAUAAGUUUUAACUAACCUCCAUCUGAAGACAGAAACCCGGAACCGGCCAUAUGUACUUCUCGUUGUUGGUGACUGAACCAUUAAAAUGAUUCAUCGUGUGUGAGAUGGUUUCCUAACAUGUAAUCGAAAGAAUA
rnacentral:sRNA from 1 species